UUCUUCAUCGUCUUUUAAUCGACAGAGGUCUACAACAAACUUUCGGUUUUAGUUUCAGCUUGAUUAACCUUACGAAUUUCUUUGCUUUCUCUCUCAAUACGUUGUUCUUCUAGAUCUAAUUUUUCUCUGAAACCCUAGAAAUUAAGAGAGAAUGCCCCAGAUCGGUGGAAAGGUUUAUGUAUAUAUCAUAUUUGGAGUAGGAGAUCCAGAACUUCUGUAUGUGAGAAUCAAUCUUUUCUAGAAAGCCUAACAACUACGAUUUCUUUUCAAAAUCCUCUUUCGGUUCACAGUUAAUGUUUCGAUCAGUUAUUUAAUGAUGAUUCUUAUCAUUCUGAACUUGUACAAUCAAUAGGAUUCAAGUUUAUUUGCAUGUCUUGGGAGAAAUGAUGAGUUCUGUAGGAGAGAUCUUGAAGUUCGUAAAUAUUUUAUUUAUCUUUUUGUUUGAUUGACUAUAAAUUGAAUUGGAAAUUGGAUCUUGUUUUUAUUUUGAUUUUGUUAAAUUUGGGGAUUCUUGUGGAUUCGUUUAUAUCGAAUUGGAGAUUGGUUUACACGAUAUUGAUAAGGAUUUGGUUCAUGAAAUUUAUGAUACGUCUUUACAUUUUUGGAAAUAAAAAUGCCUUAUAGAGUUUAUGAUAUGGAAAUGAAAAUCGAAAUUAGGGUCCAAAACGAAUGAUUUUUAUCGAACAUUCUUUGAAAAUUGGUUUCUAUCGUGCACUGUAUGCAUUGUAUCUAAGAGGAAUUUUUUUUAUUGAUUUUAACCUUUUCUUGCAUUUUUCUACGGACCCCUCAAAAACAACUUCACAACUCCAUUGCUGGAGUGUCAAACGAUGGAACAACUCUUGCUCCUGGCUCAUCAUUGGGUAAUAAGAGUGUUGUGAUGGAUAAUGUUCCAACAUAAUUCGGUUACUUGGGGUAGUGCACGGAUUAAUCAACAGGUUGAAGAUUAUGAGGAUCAUAUCUAAGAGACGCAUUGAAGUUGGAGAAUUUUUUUGUGGAUUUCUGUUUAGGUAACAAUAUCGGCAUUAACAAAACGAGUUGCAUCUCACAGUAGUAAAGUUGGCAAGUAAUAUAUAGAAAGCUACAACAACAGAUAGAAGAUUUGAGUUGAUUGGUUGAGGUGCUAUAGCUGUUUGCAACAGCAGGGUUAUGAGUGGUUGACUAAUGAAGCUGGUGUUGGUAAUGAGUUUGGGUUGUAAACAGCUUGCAGUUGAAGACGAUGAUAUUGAAGUCUGGGAAGUUGGAUGUUGUUAGUGAGUUAUAAAGAACAUUUUGUAUGAAAUGAAGUAUGCAGAGAAGUAUGAAUGAAAAAGGAAAGUUGUGUAGAGUGAUGCACCAAAUGACUAGAUACGAGCUGAUAAAUAAUUCCAAAAGAAAUGUGGAAUCUGGAAUCGACGUAUCAGGAAAUAUGACAGAGCAUCGAUGCAGGGUUUAUAAGAAGCUCGAAUAUUUUAUGGUACCUAUGAAGAUCUUCUCCUGUGUGCAUCCUUGUUGUGGACUUGUUUACACAUUAUCCCUCAAUAUGGUCAUUAUCAUCAAAGUUAAUUGAUCGCGAACUGGUGCACCAACAGCUAAGGUCGCUUGAGUAGCACAAUAAUAAGGUUGCUCAUAGAAAAUGUUCCCCAUUUGCUGCACUACAUAGUCGUACCACAUGUCAAUUCUUUUUGAAGCAAAUUACUGAAGCUGAUCUUACCAACCACAUCGUAUCGCUUCUGAGCAAGGAUACCGCCGUCUCAUUGAACUUUCGUUAAUUACUACUAGAUUUUCUGCAGUGCCAGCAGUUGAUGUGGAAAUAAACAUUUUUGGAAAAUUCGGCUCGAAAAGUUG